CGCGUAGGCGGUUUGAUAAGUGGGAUGUGAAAGCCCCGGGCUUAACCUGGGAACUGCAUUCCAAACUGUCAGGCUCGAGUAUGGUAGAGGGAGGUGGAAUUUCCUGUGUAGCGGUGAAAUGCGUAGAUAUAGGAAGGAACACCAGUGGCGAAGGCGGCCUCCUGGACCAAUACUGACGCUGAGGUGCGAAAGCGUGGGGAGCAAACA
rnacentral:rRNA from 1 species